ncrna:Synechococcus sp. BL107 Glutamine-II riboswitch (downstream peptide RNA)
AAACGUUGAACCGAUAGUUGUCGGUUGCAGUUAGAGCCAGGUCACGCAACGGGGUCCUGGU